ensembl:snoRNA SNORA70 Small nucleolar RNA SNORA70
CUGCAACCAAUUAAGCAAACUGAAGUCCUCUCCUGGUGGUUGCUGCGCGCACCAUGGUCACAGGGAGCUGCCUCCUCAGUCAUUUAAUGACCUGGUGCCUGUUACAGGUGGCCCUAAGGGACCUUUGGAGACAUUC